UUUACAUUAAUUUACAGGUGCAUUGUGUUUUUCUAUCAUUUGGUUAAUUAUACAACUUUGGAUCUAAAACAAAACGUCAAAUUGGAUAUUAAAUUACAGUACCACAAUGAAGACUACAUAAAGGCGUGUACACUUUAAGCUGGUGGAGGUGAAUAUAAGCGAUUUGUUUACAAAGAAAGUGAUCCGACAUAGGAUUAUCUCGAGUAAUCGAGUAAGAAAAAGCAGGAAAGAAUGAGGGCAAUCUGUUCAACCUGGAAAUAUGUUAAAAUAAUGAGCUAUGCAUUCAUCUUGGCUGUUGUUCAUCAUUCGACAACAUACGAGUUAAAAGAGCGCCCUGACUGUGAAUGGUAUUGUAAGAAAGUACAACAAUGGGACGGCUCAUGUCCUGUAUAUGGGUCCUGUCGGUGGUAUUGUCAGGCAAAACGCAAAGACUGCACCCCCAGUACACGAUAUCAUUGUGCCAGAGAUUUGCACAACAAGGCCUUAUUCAUUGAAACGUGCGCAGCAGAAAUAUUAUGUUUGGCAGGAGAAGAACCUCAAAUAUCUUUACAACAGAGUGGCAAAGCUUAUGUGUAUUGCCGACCAUGUUACCGACAAAACAUGUACAAUGGUCGACAUAACACAUCAUCGGCGGUUUUUAGUGAAUGUCCUGCUAUAAAAACAAACUUGUGUGUGAAGGCUGAGCACAAGGUUGACUGUGACAAAACUUCAUAUUUGGAACUAACAAAAACUGACGGAUAUUGUCGAUGUGACACAAGAAAUGGUUAUGCAGCGCAAUCAGAGGAAAUGUGUUUUUAUCAAAAUAAACGCUGCUUCAAGAAGAAAUGUCCCGAAGGCAAAGUUCUUUCUUUGAGUGAGUCUUUUUUUUAUACUUUAUUUGAAAUGAAGCAUAUUAAUGAAAUUCAAGCAUAUAAAGUAGAUUCGGAGUUAACAAUCUUUAUUCUUAGUGUCAACAAAGCUUUUGUUAAUAAAUGUG